rnacentral:rRNA from 1 species
CGGGGGAGCAAGCGUUGUUCGGAUUUACUGGGCGUAAAGGGCGCGUAGGCGGCCACCGCAAGUCAAUUGUGAAAUCUCCGGGCUUAACUCGGAAAGGUCAACUGAUACUGCGGGGCUAGAGUGCGGAAGGGGCAACUGGAAUUCUCGGUGUAGCGGUGAAAUGCGUAGAUAUCGAGAGGAACACCUGCGGCGAAGGCGGGUUGCUGGGCCGACACUGACGCUGAGGCGCGAAAGCUAGGGGAGCGAACGGGAUUAGAUACCCCGGUAGUCCUAGCCUUAAACGAUGAAUGCUUGGUGUCUGGGGUUACAAAGUCCCCCGGGUGCCGUCGCUAACGCUUUAAGCAUUCCGCCUGGGGAGUACGGUCGCAAGACUG